rnacentral:rRNA from 1 species
AUUGAACGCUGGCGGCAUGCCUUACACAUGCAAGUCGAACGGCAGCAUGAUCUAGCUUGCUAGAUUGAUGGCGAGUGGCGAACGGGUGAGUAAUACAUCGGAACGUGCCCUGUAGUGGGGGAUAACUAGUCGAAAGAUUAGCUAAUACCGCAUACGACCUGAGGGUGAAAGUGGGGGACCGCAAGGCCUCAUGCUAUAGGAGCGGCCGAUGUCUGAUUAGCUAGUUGGUGAGGUAAAGGCUCACCAAGGCGACGAGCAGUAGCUGGUCUGAGAGGACGAUCAUCCACACUGGGACUGAGACACGGCCCAGACUCCUACGGGAGGCAGCAGUGGGGAAUUUUGGACAAUGGGGGCAACCCUGAUCCAGCAAUGCCGCGUGUGUGAAGAAGGCCUUCGGGUUGUAAAGCACUUUUGUCCGGAAAGAAAUCGCACUUACUAAUAUUAGGUGUGGAUGACGGUACCGGAAGAAUAAGGACCGGCUAACUACGUGCCAGCCGCCGCGGUAACAC